CUACGGGUCGCAGCAGUGGGGAAUAUUGGACAAUGGGGGGAACUCUGAUGCAGCAACGCCGCGUGGAGGAUGACACUUUUCGGAGCGUAAACUCCUUUUAUAUAGGAAGAAGAUGACGGUACUAUAUGAAUAAGCGCCGGCUAACUCCGUGCCAGCAGCCGCGGUAAUACGGAGGGCGCAAGCGUUACUCGGAAUCACUGGGCGUAAAGAGCGUGUAGGCGGAUUAAAAAGUCAGAAGUGAAAUCCUAUAGCUUAACUAUAGAACUGCUUCUGAAACUCUUAAUCUAGAAUAUGGGAGAGGUAGAUGGAAUUUCUGGUGUAGGGGUAAGAUCCGUAGAGAUCAGAAGGAAUACCGAUUGCGAAGGCGAUCUACUAGAACAUUAUUGACGCUGAGACGCGAAAGCGUGGGGAGCAAACAGGAUUAGAUACCCUUGUAGUC
rnacentral:rRNA from 1 species